GAGUAAUAUAUAGAUAACGUGCCUCUUAGUCUGGGAUAGCCAUUGGAAACGAUGAUUAAUACUAGAUACUCCUUCUUAUUAUAAUGUAAGUCGGGAAAGUUUUUCGCUAAGAGAUCGGUCUAUAUCCCAUCAGCUUGUUGGUAGUGUAAGAGACUACCAAGGCAAUGACGGGUAGCGGGUUUGAGAGGAUGAUCCGCCACACUGGUACUGAGACACGGACCAG
rnacentral:rRNA from 1 species